rnacentral:lncRNA from 1 species
GACACUCCAAUCUGGACCAUUGCCCUACCGCUCAGGAAGUUCAUUCCCUGUAUCACAAUCUCUCUCCUUAAGGAGUUCAGUCCUUGAUGACGGCUCUGUUCCCCAUAGAGUCGCAUUCCCUCACCACACGCUGGUUCAUGCUGCAUGACCUUAAACUACACAGCUAUGAUCCACAUUGCAUGACCUUAAACUACACAGCCAUGGUCUGCGCUGCAUGACUUGAAACUGCACAGCUCUAGUCCUAACUGCACGACUUUAAAAUGCAUAAUUAUGGUCCAAAC